rnacentral:tRNA from 1 species
UUAUUUAAUAUGGCAGAUUAGUGCAUUGAACUUAAACUUCAAUUAUAAAGAUUUUUAAACCUUUUAUUAAAA